UGCACCUGAACCCGACAUUGUAGGGGAACCAUUUCUGUAUCAGAUUGAGUUUUGCACCUGAACCCGACAUUGUAGGGGAACCAUUUCUGUAUCAGAUUGAGUUUUGCACCUGAACCCGACAUUGUAGGGGAACCAUUUCUGUAUCAGAUUGAGUUUUGCACCUGAACCCGACAUUGUAGGGGAACCAUUUCUGUAUCAGAUUGAGUUUUGCACCUGAACCCGACAUUGUAGGGGAACCAUUUCUACAUCAGAUUGAGUUUUGCACCUGAACCCGACAUUGUAGGGGAACCAUUUCUACAUCAGAUUGAGUUUUGCACCUGAUCCCGACAUUGUAGGGGAACCAUUUCUACAUCAGAUUGAGUUUUGCACCUGAUCCCGACAUUGUAGGGGAACCAUUUCUACAUCAGAUUGAGUUUUGCACCUGAACCCGACAUUGUAGGGGAACCAUUUC